rnacentral:rRNA from 1 species
UGGGGAAUAUUGCACAAUGGAGGGAACUCUGAUGCAGCGACGCCGCGUGAGUGAUGAAGGAAUUCGUUUCGUAAAACUCUGUUCUAUGGGAAGAUAAUGACGGUACCAUAGGAGGAAGCCCCGGCUAACUACGUGCCAGCAGCCGCGGUAAUACGUAGGGGGCAAGCGUUGUCCGGAAUCACUGGGCGUAAAGGGUUCGCAGGCGGAAAUGCAAGUCAGUUGUGAAAGGCAGAGGCUCAACCUCUGUAAGCAAUUGAAACUGUAUUUCUUGAGAUGUGGAGAGGCAAGUGGAAUUCCUAGUGUAGCGGUGAAAUGCGUAGAUAUUAGGAAGAAUACCGGUGGCGAAGGCGACUUGCUGGACACAAACUGACGCUGAGGAACGAAAGCGUGGGUAGCAAACAGG